UACGUAGGGGGCAAGCGUUGUCCGGAUUUAUUGGGCGUAAAGAGCGUGUAGGCGGCCAGACAGGUCUGCUGUGAAAACUCGAGGCUCAACCUCGAGACGCCGGUGGAAACCGUCUGGCUAGAGUCCGGAAGAGGAGACUGGAAUUCCUGGUGUAGCGGUGGAAUGCGCAGAUAUCAGGAGGAACACCGGUGGCGAAGGCGGGUCUCUGGGCAGUAACUGACGUGAGGAGCGAAAGCGUGGGGAGCGAACAGG
rnacentral:rRNA from 1 species